UGAUUUGUUCCUCCGUUUGGAAUGGCGCCUUCCUUCCCUGAGUACAUACAUACAACCAUCCAAUCUAUUUUCCCCGACAUAUAUAUCAAAAGUAAAAUUAAAAUGAUUUUUUCGCCUCUUCCAUGGAUCGCAGCUGGUCCUCCUCCUGAAGAAACCCUAAAUUGCUGAGAUAUUGGGAGAUUUCCAACGCAUGCUCCGUUAUAGAUUUGGCGUGUAUGUAUAAUAUUUGUUGAUGAGCUGAUGGAGAUAUCGGAAGAAGCGGUGAUAGUGAAUUCUAGUAGAUUAAAAUCGGUUGUGUGGAAUGAUUUCGACAGAAUUAAAAGGGGUGAAUCGUUUUCUGCUGUCUGUCGGCACUGUAAAAGAAUCCUUAGUGGGUCGAGUACCAGUGGGACAUCUCAUUUGAGGAAUCACUUGAUCAGGUGUAGGAGGAGAUCGAACCACGACGUAGCGCAGUUGUUAACAAGAGGGAAGAAGAAGCAGAGCACUCUUUCUGUUGCUAGUUUCAGUUACAAUCAAGCUUCGAUAAAGAAUGAGUUGGUCACAGUUGCUAGCACUAAUUCGGAUCAGGGGCUAAAAUUUGGAAGUAUGAAUGCUGGAAUUUACAAUUUUGAUCAGAGGAGGAGUCAGCUGGAUCUUGCACGAAUGAUCAUAUUGCACAGGUAUCCGCUAGGUAUGGUUGAGGAUAUCGGGUUCAAGUCAUUUGUUCGGAACCUUCAACCUUUGUUUGAUCUCGUGACGAUUACUGGAAUUGAGGCUGACUGUAUGGAAAUCUAUAGAAAGGAGAAGCAAAAAGUGUACGAGGGGUUGGAUAAGUUACCUGGAAAGGUCAGUCUUAGUGCCGAUCGGUGGGGUACUUGUGAUGGUACAGAGUAUUUAUGCCUGAUAGCACACUAUAUUGAUGAUUCUUGGGAAUUGAAAAAGAAGAUUUUAAACUUUUUGGCUGUUGAUCCUUCUCAAGCGGAAGACUCACUUUCAGAAUUAAUCAUAGCAAGUCUUAGGAGUUGGGAUAUUGAUCGAAAGUUGUUCUCAUUGACAGUUGAUAAUUGUUCGACCUAUGACAAAAUCACCGUUAGAGUGAACCAACAGCUCUGCCAGCACAGGUUUCUCAUGUGUGAAGGCAGUUUAUUUGAUGUACGAUGUGCAGCGAGUACAGUCAGAUUGUUUGUCCAAAUUGUCCUUGAAACAUCCCGCGAGAUAAUUAAUAAAGUCCGUGAGACCAUCCGGUAUGUGAGAGGCUCUCGAGAGAUACAAGAGAAGUUCAGCGAGAUAGUGCAGUUAGCCGGCAUCAACGGGCAGAAAUGUUUGUUGGUUGAUAAUCCCUUUCGAUGGAACUCAACAUACAUGAUGCUUGAAGCUGCUUUAGAGCACAAAGAAGCAUUUCCUCAACUGCAAGAACAUGACCCUGCUGGGUGCACAAUAUGUCCCUCUAAUAUAGAGUGGGACAGACUGAGAGCCAUUACGGGAAUCUUGAAGUUCUUUUAUGAAGUUUCUAAUGCCUUUCUCGGCCGCAAGCAUAUCACUGCAAAUUCGUACUUUGCUGAAAUAUGUGAUAUUCAUUUGCAACUGAUUGAGUGGUGUCAAAAGUCGGAUGACUUCAUAAAGGGUUUGGCGUUAGAGUUGAAAGGAAAGUUCGAUGAGUACUGGAAAAAGUGCGGCUUGAUUAUGGCAAUUGCUGCCAUUUUGGAUCCACGAUUCAAGAUGAAAUUGGUGGAGUAUUACUACCCUCAGAUUUAUGGAGACAGUGCCCCCGGGUGCAUAGAAAUUGUUUCGAAUUGUAUGAAAGUUCUUUACAAUGGUCAUGCCAUAUAUUCACCGUUAGCUGAUCAUGGGCAGAGCUUCUCCUCUGAAGGUAGAGGUGCAGUGAAGGAUAGACUUACCGGAUUUGACAAAUUCCUCCAUGAAAGUUCGAUUAGCCAAAACACAAAGUCAGACUUAGACAAGUAUUUGGAAGAACCCCUCUUUCCACGCAGUGUUGAUUUCGACAUACUCAACUGGUGGAAAGUUCACGAGCCUCGGUAUCCUGUGCUCUCAAUGAUGGCCCGGAAUAUACUCGGGAUUCCAAUAUCUAAAAUGGCGCUGGAAUCCCUGUACGACACCGGAGAUAGAACUCUUGAGGAUUGCUGGCGCUCGUUGAAGCCAGAUACAGUGCAAGCUUUGAUGUGCUCACAAGAUUGGUUGCGCAGCGAAUUAGAAGUAAUAGAUUCCAAGCAUUCUGAGGUUCCCGCCUUGUGUUAUGACACAAAUUCGUAAACUCCAUUUCCCGUAAGUUCUUCCUUGCAAAGCUGUAGAGCCUGGUUUUGAUAUAUUGCUUAAUCUUGGUGAAAUUUCGGCAUUUUCAAUCUGGUCUGGACCAUGUCGAUAUGAAUCUGACAUACAUACAUACCUUUGGAGAAUAUGUUUUCGGCAAGUUUUGGGCGAUGAAGUUAAUACCCUGCAUAAUAGGUUCGACAAGACAAAUUAUACUAGGCGAACCACGUGUGGCAGGUGAAUCGGGAGGUGUUCGUCCGAAAAAAGCAAAUCACACUAGGUGAAUCAGGUGUGGCAGAUGGAUCAGGAGCCGGCUUUGAAGGUUUUUAUUUUUUAGUUAUUAUUAUUAUUUGUUGUUGUUGAAGCCUUCGCCUUAGAGCAAAUGUAGUAGUUAAGUACAAAUGGUGCCUUAAUUCUUGCACCAAAGAUUUAACAAAAGACAAAAGUUAUAUUUGAGGAAAAAUCAAACCAAGGAAACUCACUCUUUCCAUUUCAGUACAAAGAGAAUUUAAUGAGGG